AUUGAACGCCGGCGGCAGGCCUAACACAUGCAAGUCGAGCGGAUGAAGGGAGCUUGCUCCUGGAUUCAGCGGCGGACGGGUGAGUAAUGCCUAGGAAUCUGCCUGGUAGUGGGGGAUAACGUCCGGAAACGGGCGCUAAUACCGCAUACGUCCUGAGGGAGAAAGUGGGGGAUCUUCGGACCUCACGCUAUCAGAUGAGCCUAGGUCGGAUUAGCUAGUUGGUGGGGUAAAGGCCUACCAAGGCGACGAUCCGUAACUGGUCUGAGAGGAUGAUCAGUCACCCUGGAACUGAGACACGGUCCAGACUCCUACGGGAGGCAGCAGUGGGGAAUAUUGGACAAUGGGCGAAAGCCUGAUCCAGACAUGCCGCGUGUGUGAAGAAGGUCUUCGGAUUGUAAAGCACUUUAAGUUGGGAGGAAGGGCAGUAAGUUAAUACCUUGCUGUUUGGACGUUACCAACAGAAUAAGCACCGGCUAACUUCGU
rnacentral:rRNA from 1 species